UUCUUGGGUCCCUGCCCUAGCCACGCCCACUCCCAUAACCUCUGACCCGCCCAUCGCCAUCUUGGGACCUCUCUCUCUCUCUUUCUGCUUCCUUAGCGUGCGCACUCGUUUUCUCUCUCUCUCUUUCUUCUUUUAUCUCUCCUCUCUCCUUUUAUCUCUUUUCUCUGUUUUUCUUUCUCCCCCUUCCUUAAUAAAUACUUAUGGCUAUUUCCUGUGUUUACGUGUCUGUUACCUGCCUGCCGCCACCGUGGGCCAAGGAAGCGUGCCCUCCUGUAGCCGCCCUCAUGGCGGGCUCCCUCCGCCAGCCGCCCGGGGAUCCUUUGUAGCCGCUUUCCCAUGGCGGUCACCGCCAGCCCGCCCGGGAACCGUUUGUAGCAGCUCUCUAAUCGUUUUUUAAGAAUAACAUUGGUGCCACGUGACUCCCGAACCGGGUUCUUUUCCACUUCGCCGGCCUACGACCCACGUGUUCCCUGGAUGCAGCUCCUCCAAACAACAGAUCAACUAAUCGGACUCCAGACAUUCCCAUGCCACAGACAUCGGUCAGAAGCAAAGAGACCAGCUAUGCCAGGAUGUUCCCAGCACCCCAGCCUUCUCUCGCACCCCUCCCCAAGACGACGCCCACAAUCAGCCGGAAGCAGUCUUGAGAAUUCGCCGCCCCAAUUCCUUCAAACUGAAGUGUCUAAUUUGCUUUUUAUCAAAAGCAAGAUGUGGGAAUGAUAUUCUUGGGUCCCUGCCCUAGCCACGCCCACUCCCAUAACCUCUGACCCGCCCAUCGCCAUCUUGGGACCUCUCUCUCUCUCUUUCUGCUUCCUUAGCGUGCGCACUCGUUUUCUCUCUCUCUCUCUUCUUUUAUCUCUCCUCUCUCCUUUUAUCUCUUUUCUCUGUCUUUCUUUCUCCCCCUUCCUUAAUAAAUACUUAUGGCUAUUU